rnacentral:misc_RNA from 1 species
GAAUGAAUUUGUGAACCCAAAGGAACAUGACAAACCAAUUCAGCAGGUCAUCGUUGAUCUCACAGACGGCGGUGUUGACUAUAGUUUUGAGUGCAUAGGGAAUGUGAAUGUGAUGAGGUCUGCUCUGGAAUGCUGCCACAAGGGCUGGGGGCAAUCGGUCAUUGUGGGGGUUGCAGCAUCUGGCCAGGAAAUAUCCACAAGGCCUUUCCAGUUAGUGACUGGUCGCGUCUGGAAAGGAACAGCUUUUGGUGGUUUCAAGAGUCGUUCUCAAGUGCCUUGGCUUGUUGAAAAGUACUUGAAGAAGGAAAUCAAAGUUGAUGAAUACAUAACCCACAAUUUGACCCUUGAAGAGAUCAACAAAGCCUUUGAUCUGAUGCAUGGAGGCGAUUGCCUUCGCUGCGUUCUUGCUGCCCAUCCCUAAGCUCAAGCUCGAAUUCGAUCUCUUUAUGGAAGUUCAUAAAAAUAAUGCUGUUGAGAUCUGU